UAAGGAAUAUUGGACAAUGGCCGCAAGGCUGAUCCAGCCAUGCCGCGUGAAGGAUGACGGCCCUAGUGGUUGUAAACUUCUUUUGUUUGGGAGAAAACCCCUGUACGUGUACAGGGCUGAUAGUACCAAAAGAAUAAGGAUCGGCUAACUCCGUGCCAGCAGCCGCGGUAAUACGGAGGAUCCAAGCGUUAUCCGGAUUUAUUGGGUUUAAAGGGUGCGUAGGCGGAAUAAUAAGUCAGUGGUGAAAUCCUGUCGCUUAACGAUAGAACUGCCAUUGAUACUGUUAAUCUAGAGUCCGUUUGAAGUGGGCGGAAUGUGCAGUGUAGCGGUGAAAUGCUUAGAUAUUGCACAGAACACCGAUUGCGAAGGCAGCUCACUAAACCGGUACUGACGCUGAGGC
rnacentral:rRNA from 1 species